rnacentral:rRNA from 1 species
GCCCUGAGAUGAGUCAUCCCUGACCCCUUGAGGGUCCUAAAGGGCCGUUGGAGACCACAACGUUGAUAGGCGGGGUGUGUAAGUGCAGCGAUGCAUUGAGCUAACCCGUACUAAUUACCCGUGAGGCUUAACCAUACAACACCCAAGAAGUGUUCU